rnacentral:rRNA from 1 species
GUCUACAGUCAUGCCACCCUGAACAAGCCCAAUGUCUGAUCUUGGAAGCUAAGCAGGGUCAGGCCUCGUUAGCACAUGGAUGUAAGACCACCUAGGAAGACCAGGUGCUGUAGGCA